AUGGAGGACGGCAACGGCGGCGGGGAGGGGAGCACGAGCGGGGGGAGGUUCCCGAUACUGCAAGCGAACCGGGACCCCGAGUCCAACUGGGAGGUGGACGUCGCCAAGAGCCUCGAGGAGUACCUCCUCAAGAUCUGCUCAGGCGAGAUCUCCGGCGAAGACUUCAACUUCGCCGAAGCGGCGCUAUUGCUCCAAGGAUCGGUUCAAGUUUACAGCCGCAAGGUGGAGUACUUGUACUCGUUGGUGCUACAUGCACUGGAAUUUCUGUCGCAAAAUAAGCCAGAUCAACAAGGAAAGGGUUCUGCUGAAGCUAAUGAAAGUGACCCUAGCACUACUUCCGACAAAGAAGAUGAUAUGUUUCUGGGUUUGGAUGAUGUCCCAGCGGAAACAAGGAUCACUUUGGGUAACAAUCUUGACCGGGAUGAGUUGCGAAGAAUAAUUGUGAGGCCACCAGCAAAUCUAUUGGUGUUCGAAGGAGACUGUGUCGAUAGCGAAGCGAGCGAGCUGGAUUCGUAUUUGUUAGCAACAUGUGGUUUCUAUGGAGAUUUCCUCCUGCUGGAUCCAUGUGAUGCACCAGCUGUUUUUGCCUUCCUGCAAGGAAAAAAUGUAUGCAAAGAAGAUAUUCUGUCUCAUGGAGGUGGCUCAGCACCAUCUAAACGCCGAAACAACGUCUUCACUUCCCCAAAUGCAAGAUCGGGGGGUACUGCUCGUAGAAAAACUCCUGGGGAAGUCCCGCGAAAUGCAGUUCAACCAGAGAUUGAAAAAUCUCAAGAAACGAAUCCAGGUGAAAGUCCAGCGAAUAACUGGCCUGAUCAUCGUGGUGACCUUACUCCUGAUCUCAGCCCGUCCCAGCCAGAGUAUGUAGACCCUGGAUGCCCAGAUCUCAGGGAUGAUUCCGAUGACGAGGAUCCAUAUAAAUCUUUAGAUCCACAUGAACCUAGCAACCUAAAGAUUAAACCUUAUAAGAGAGUAAAAUGUUUUCCAAGGCAAGUUAUUGGCGCUCCUAAGAAAAAAACUCUUGCAUCUAUAUUUCCUGCGGCAAAGAUGGAUGGUGUUGUUAGUCCCGAGCUAACAAAAUAUGUUGUAUUACGUAUGCCUCAACUCUAUGUCUCCCAAUCAGUUCCUCUUUAUGAAAAGCUUUUGUUGUCAUUUGAAUCUGGUGACAAAAAGCGUGUUGAUGAGCCCAAUCCUAGUAUGCAUGAUUCCGAUGAUGAGCCAGACAUCCCAACUUACCCAGAUGAUGGGCUAGGCAGCCCAAUUGAUCAGCCAGUCUUGAAUAUACCGGGGAGCAUGGAUGCUCUUUGUCAGUCGCAUCUGGAUAAGCUGCUUUGUAGGAUAGCUGAGGCGGAACAACAAUCCGCGCUGGAUGCACGGGUUUCAACAUGGAAACAGCGGAUCGAGCACGCCUUGGAAGAGCAGGAUAGAAAUCCACCUUUCGAUAUCGGUCUAUACAGAGAGCAAAUCCUCGACACGCUCUCAUCAAGAACCGACACAGGGACCGCAUCGUUCAGUCAGAUUGUUAGCGGCCACCCAAAGUACGAUGUUGCGAGAACGUUCUCCGCCCUUCUCCAGUUGGUGAAUGGCAGAUGUGUUGAUCUAGACAAAGGACAGGCCACGAGCGAAUUGGUGUGCUACACGGGUGCCAACCCGUUCCACGUAAAGCUGAUCGGUCCCAACCGCAGGCCAGAGAUGGAGGCACGUUUCGCGCGCAAGAGGGUCAAGUCCCCUGAACGACGAUGUUGUGAUGAAGGGGGCGAGCCUUGUCGGGUACAAGCGCAGAAGCAGGCGCCUAAGGAUGGCAAGGUCUCUUCGGUUAAGGCGGCGGCGAGGUUGACCCCUGAAGGAAAGCGGAGGCGAAGGUCUGGUCCGCUGCCGCAGCCAUUCGAUCUGGAGUCCAGCUGA
rnacentral:rRNA from 1 species